GUGGGGGAUAUUGGACAAUGGGGGGAACCCUGAUCCAGCGACGCCGCGUGAGUGAAGAAGUAUCUCGGUAUGUAAAGCUCUAUCAGCAGGGAAGAAGAAAGUGACGGUACCUGACUAAGAAGCCCCGGCUAACUACGUGCCAGCAGCCGCGGUAAUACGUAGGGGGCAAGCGUUAUCCGGAAUCACUGGGUGUAAAGGGAGCGUAGACGGUGAAGUAAGUCUGGAGUGAAAGGCGGGGGCCCAACCCCCGGACUGCUCUGGAAACUAUUUGACUGGAGUGCAGGAGAGGCAGGCGGAAUUCCUAGUGUAGCGGUGAAAUGCGUAGAUAUUAGGAGGAACAUCGGUGGCGAAGGCGGCCUGCUGGACUGUAACUGACGUUGAGGCUCGAAAGCGUGGGGAGCAAACAGGA
rnacentral:rRNA from 1 species